rnacentral:rRNA from 1 species
AUUGAACGCUGGCGGCAUGCUUUACACAUGCAAGUCGAACGGCAGCGCGGGCUUCGGCCCGGCGGCGAGUGGCGAACGGGUGAGUAAUACAUCGGAACGUGCCCAGUCGUGGGGGAUAGCUCGGCGAAAGCCGGAAUAAUACCGCAUACGACCAGAGGGUGAAAGCGGGGGAUCUUCGGACCUCGCGCUAUUGGAGCGGCCGAUGGCUGUAUAGCUAGUUGGUGGGGUAAAGGCCUACCAAGGCGACGAUCUGUAGCUGGUCUGAGAGGACGACCAGCCACACUGGGACUGAGACACGGCCCAGACUCCUACGGGAGGCAGCAGUGGGGAAUUUUGGACAAUGGGCGAAAGCCUGAUCCAGCAAUGCCGCGUGUGUGAUGAAGGCCUUCGGGUUGUAAAGCACUUUUGGCGGGAACGAAAAGGACUGUGCCAAUACCACGGUUCGAUGACGGUACCCGCAGAAUAAGCACCGGCUAACUACGUG